CUGUGAGCUCGAUGAGUAGGGCGGGACACGUGGUAUCCUGUCUGAAUAUGGGGGGACCAUCCUCCAAGGCUAAAUACUCCUGACUGACCGAUAGUGAACCAGUACCGUGAGGGAAAGGCGAAAAGAACCCCGGCGAGGGGAGUGAAAAAGAACCUGAAACCGUGUACGUACAAGCAGUGGGAGCCUCUUUUAUGGGGUGACUGCGUACCUUUUGUAUAAUGGGUCAGCGACUUAUAUUCUGUAGCAAGGUUAACCGAAUAGGGGAGCCGAAGGGAAACCGAGUCUUAACUGGGCGUUAAGUUGCAGGGUAUAGACCCGAAACCCGGUGAUCUAGCCA
rnacentral:rRNA from 1 species